AGGUUACUGCUAUCGGUGUUCGCCUAAGCCAUGCGAGUCAUAUGUUCUUCGUGAACAUGGCGUACUGCUCAGUAACACGUGGAUAACCUGCCCUUGGGUCCGGCAUAACCCCGGGAAACUGGGGAUAAUUCCGGAUAACGCAUAUAUGCUGGAAUGCUUUCUGCGUAAAAUGGAUUCGUCUGCCCAAGGAUGGGUCUGCGGCCUAUCAGGUAGUAGUGGGUGUAAUGUACCUACUAGCCGACGACGGGUACGGGUUGUGAGAGCAAGAGCCCGGAGAUGGAUUCUGAGACAUGAAUCCAGGCCCUACGGGGCGCAGCAGGCGCGAAAACUUUACAAUGCGGGAAACCGUGAUAAGGGGACACCGAGUGCCAGCAUCAUAUGCUGGCUGUCCGGGUGUGUAAAAUACACCCGUUAGCAAGGGCCGGGCAAGACCGGUGCCAGCCGCCGCGGUAACACCGGCGGCCCGAGUGGUGAUCGUGAUUAUUGGGUCUAAAGGGUCCGUAGCCGGUUUGGUCAGUCCUCCGGGAAAUCUGAUAGCUCAACUAUUGGGCCUUCGGGGGAUACUGCCAAGCUUGGAACCGGGAGAGGUAACAGGUACUACAGGGGUAGGAGUGAAAUCUUGUAAUCCCUGUGGGACCACCUGUGGCGAAGGCGUCUUACCAGAACGGGUUCGACGGUGAGGGACGAAAGCUGGGGGCACGAACCGGAUUAGAUACCCGGGUAGUCCCAGCCGUAAACGAUGCUCGCUAGGUGUCAGGCAUGGCGCGACCGUGUCUGGUGCCGCAGGGAAGCCGUGAAGCGAGCCACCUGGGAAGUACGGCCGCAAGGCUGAAACUUAA
rnacentral:rRNA from 1 species